GCUAUUGGAAGGUGUCUGUAAUCCCUGCUGCUGGGGAAGCUGAGGCUGGUGAAUUGCUUGAAUUCAGGAGUUCUGAAAUGCAGUAGGGUUAAAGUUGAUUUGGCGUCCACACUGUAUCUGGCAUCAAUAUGGUGAGCCCUUGAAAGCAUGAAGGGGGCAGGGCAGGGAGAAUUAGGCUGCCUAAGAAGGAACAAACUAGCCUAGGUUGGAAACAAAGGAGGUCAAAGCUCUCAUGCUGACCAAUAGUGAGAUCAAGCCUUUAAGUGUCCCCUGCACUUCCAGUCUGUGUAAGAGAAGAAGACCUAGUU
rnacentral:SRP_RNA from 1 species